AACGAACGCUGGCGGCAGGCCUAACACAUGCAAGUCGAACGCCCUAGCAAUAGGGAGUGGCGCACGGGUGCGUAACGCGUGGGAAUAUGCCCUUCACUGCGGAAUAACGUUUGGAAACGAACGCUAAUACCGCAUAAUGACUCCGGUCCAAAGAUUUAUCGGUGAAGGAUUAGCCCGCGUUAGAUUAGCUAGUUGGUGAGGUAAUGGCUCACCAAGGCGACGAUCUAUAGCUGGUCUGAGAGGAUGAUCAGCCACACUAGGACUGAGACACGGCCCAGACUCCUACGGGAGCAGCAGUGAGGAAUAUUGGACAAUGGGCGCAAGCCUGAUCCAGCCAUGCCGCGUGAGU
rnacentral:rRNA from 1 species